ACGAACGCUGGCGGCGUGCUUAACACAUGCAAGUCGAGCGGUAAGGCCCUUUCGGGGGUACACGAGCGGCGAACGGGUGAGUAACACGUGGGUGACCUGCCCUCAGCUCUGGGAUAAGCCGUGGGAAACCGGGUCUAAUACUGGAUAUGACUCCAUGACGCAUGUUGUGGGGUGGAAAGCCUUGUGCGGCUGAGGAUGGGCCCGNGGCCUAUCAGCUUGUUGGUGAGGAACGGCUCACCAAGGCUUCGACGGGUAGCUGGUCUGAGAGGACGAUCAGCCACACUGGCACUGCGACACGGGCCAGACUCCUACGGG
rnacentral:rRNA from 1 species